rnacentral:rRNA from 1 species
GACGAACGCUGGCGGCGUGCUUAACACAUGCAAGUCGAACGGAAAGGCCCUGCUUUUGUGUGGUGCUCGAGUGGCGAGCGGGUGUGUAACACGUGAGUAACCUGCCCUUGACUUUGGGAUAACUUCAGGAAACUGGGGCUAAUACCGGAUAGGUGCUCCUGCUGCAUGGUGGGGGUUGGAAAGUUUCGGCGGUUUGGGAUGGACUCGCGGGUUAUCAGCUUGUUGGGCGGGUAGUGGCUUACGAAGGGUUUGACGGGUAGGCGGCCUGGGAGGGUGAACGGCGACAUGGGGACUGCGGGAGGGACCAGUCUGCAACGGGGGACAACAGGCGGGAAUAUGGCACAAUGGGCGGAAGCCUGAGGAGACAAUCCCGCGAGCGGGAUGACCGCCUUCGGGGUGGAAACCGCAUUCGGCUGUGACGAUGCGUGAUUGACGGUAAUGGGUAAAGAAGCACCGGCUAACUACGUG